UGAUCUAUCCUAUGAGGUCCUGUUGUCCUU
rnacentral:piRNA from 1 species